AGAGGCAGAAUGAUGGGAGUCGGAUGGAUGCCUGGGCAUUAAACCCUGUGACACGAGUGAGGUCAUCCUGUGUGCGGGCACCGACUAAAUGCUAAGAUGCCUUUUCUGUUAACCCUCACCUGAUUUUCCUGAAGCAGGGCCUCCUGGGACUUCAACGGAGAGGAAAGUGUUGGAGGCCAGAACUAAGAGACCUGACUCAUCUCCUGGCCUCAGAUCUACAAGGGGGAAGCUCAUAACUUGACACAAAAUCCACAAAGACUUGGACAACAUGUGCUGGACAUUGACCAAUACCAGUCCAUACAUCCAAUCCAGUGUUUAAUGAGACUUUCCAGGCAAUGGAUAUCUUCAUUCAACAAAAAUUGUGCAGGGGUCAGCUCUGUGUUGGGCGUUAUUGCGCUAGGCACCGAGGCUAAUAUAAUUAAGACAUUGCAGUUUUCCUUAAAUUGCUCAGUAGCUUGUGGUCAGUGGACCUUCAGUGGAGGAGCAUAGAGCAUUAGUUACUGGUGAAUUACAGAUGACCUUGGGAUGCACUCCUCUUGUGGUUUAGGACCUGCUGGCAGGAUCCUGACGUCGCGGCUUGUGACAGAAUGACCCACAAGAAGGUGCCCAACAGAUCCAGACCCAUGAUCUUGAACUUCCUACUCUUUAAACUAUAAGAAAUAA